rnacentral:rRNA from 1 species
CCUUGGGAGUUAAUUUAAGGUCGAACCUGCCCACUGAAAAGAAAAGAAUUAAAGGGCCGCGGUAUUUUGACCGUGCAAAGGUAGCAUAAUCAAUAGUCUUUUAAUUGAAGGCUGGAAUGAAUGGUUUGACGAAAUAAAAACUGUCUUAGUUUAAUUAAUUAAAAUUUUAUUUUUAAGUUAAAAAGCUUAAAUUUUUAAAGGGGACGAGAAGACCCUAUAGAUUUUUAUAAUUAAUAAAAAUGAGGUAUUAGAAUAAUUUUUUUUUAUUAAUUAUUUGAUUGGGGUGAUAUGAGAAUAGAAAAACUUCUUUUGAUUUAAACAAAGAUUAUUGAAUUUAUGAUCCUUAAUAAAGAUUAAAAGAUUAAAAUACCUUAGGGAUAACAGCGUAAUUUUAUUUGAGAGUUCUAAUCGAUAAUAGAGAUUGCGACCUCGAUGUUGGAUUAAGAAUAUAAUUUGGUGCAGUAGUUAAAUUAAUAAGUCUGUUC